AAUAGAGCUCUUUCACAUGCAUUGCAAAUAGGUUAUGGACAACUUUCAACCAUGCAUGAGCAUGGGAUGGAACUGACUUGCAGAGUAAGGAAAAGGCAGAUGAGACAAUUGCGAAAUAGAAUCCUUCAAUGCAUUGCUGCCUAUUGAUAUGUCAGUGCUCAUUUCACCUGACUGACAAGCAGCCACUGUUUAUGAAAAUAUCAAUGGAAUGGGUAAACACAACUUACGAGAUCGAAGAAUAAAAUAGGUUACAAGAUCAAAUAGGUUAUGAAACUCUUGAACAGGUGCGUUCCCUACAAUUAUCCUUCUCUUUGUAGCAACAUUUUUUCUUCUUUUAAAUAAAACGUAUAAUAAAAUUUAUAAGAAUAAAAUCACAUAUAAAAACUUAAGACGCGCACAUUCAUAUUAGAAGGAGUCUGAUUGAAAAGAUAGCUUGGAGAAUGGAGAAGCGAAUAGGAGAAUACCAACUUUGAAUUCACUAAAGAUUGCCCCUUGCUAAGGACAUCGAAGAAAGAUGUGCUUAAUUAUGAGAAAAUAAAAAGUGUUGACAUCAUGGGUGGGUUGUAAGCAAUAGGGGUCCAUCUCCUCUUACAAAUUCUAUUGAAGAUGCCUAUUUAGAGGUGUAAACUAUUUCUGCAGCAUCAAAACUAUAUUCAUACAGUGUGGUUUAAUAGGCUCCAGCAUGUUCUCCAAACCUUUUUCUCCAAACAGUAGUGUGACACCCACAAUUGGAUGUGUCCAGAUUAAACAAUAUCACAAAAAAAAUCUCACUAAAUUAUCACAAUUUGAGCUUUCUUCAAAUCUAAAACACACGUUUGUUCUUUUAAAAUUGAACAGGUCACGUUCCUAUUUUUCCUAACAGCAAGCCUUUACCCAUAGAUGCUUCCAUUGAAAUGAUACAUUCACUACUUCCAGCAAAAUCUAAAGAAACUAUCUCAAGCAACCAUUCCAGUAUUGACCAAGUACAGUCGAAUUCAAGCAAGGAUAAUAAAUGCACCUCCGUAGUGGAUUCAAAAAUCUAGAAUAGUUCCGUGGGUUUCGCAACCAUCAGUUCCGGUGUAAUGGAGUGUGUACUGG
rnacentral:lncRNA from 1 species